UUUCCGCGCGUGCCGAACGUAAUUCGGUUCUGCCGACCGUGCGCAGUAGCAGUGAACUUCGUUCUAUCUUUUCGUCUUCUUUGCGCCUGCGUCGACAGAACUCUUUUGCUUUGCUCUUUGCUAAUUGCAAUCGUCAGACGGAGUUUUAAUAAGUGAUUAUUAAUCUGGAGUUUUAAUAAGUGAUUAUUAAUCUGUGAUUAUUAUUAUUAUCAGCGGCGGUGAAGAUGAAAAUACCCGACGAGCCAGCAGAAAAAGUGAUUCGGAAGGCUAUUCACAACAUUAAGAAUAGUCAUUUUCAGAAGACCUCGAGGGAAAAAAAU